AAAGAGUGCAGUUUUACAUUAUUCACAUCCAACAUUUGACAGUUCGUUUUAUUUGAAAUUUAUUAUUAUUAGUAUUUUUAUUAUUAUUAGAUGAUAAAACAUUAAUAGUACUUUAUGUGUGACUAUUUUUUUAAAAUUCUCAUUAUUUUUUCAAAUAAAACGGACGAUUAAACGUUGAACACGGAUAUCCAUGGCUGCACUUAAA
rfam:Oryza punctata chromosome 2, whole genome shotgun sequence.